rfam:Nicotiana attenuata strain TT scaffold03065, whole genome shotgun sequence.
UGGACAUACUAUUGUAUUGACUGUAUUCGACUGUAUUCACGGCGUGAAACAGGGGAUUACACUAUUUUUAAACGGAAAGUGAAUCAAUUGACAUAAUAGACUCCU